rnacentral:rRNA from 1 species
CACCACGAGUGGAGCCUGCGGCUUAAUUUGACUCAACACGGGAAAACUCACCCGGGCCGGACACUAUAAGGAUUGACAGAGUGAUAGCUCUUUCAUGAUUUAGUGGUUGGUGGUGCAUGGCCGUUCUUAGUUCGUGGAUAUGAUUUGUCUGGUUGAUUCCGAUAACGAGCGAGACUUUUAUGUUAUAUUAAAUAAUAUUAUUUAUAAAUUUUAUAUAUUAUAUAAUAUUUUAUUUUAAUAACAGAUUAAUAGUGUUUAACUAUUUGAGAGAGAGCAAUAACAGGUCUGUGA